UGUCUUUUGAUUGGAGAAAUGUAUUUAUUUACAUUAAGUGCUAUUAUUGUUAGGUAAGCAUUUACUACUGCCAUUUUGUUACUUGUAUUUUGGCUGAUUUGUAACUCCUUUCCUCCUUUCUUCCCUUGUGGUUAGGUGAUUUUCCUGGUAGUGUGUUUUCAUUUCUUGCCUUUUAUUUUCAGUGUAUCUAUUAUAGGUUUUUAUUUGCGGUUACCAUGAGGCUUACAAAAAAUAUCUUAUAACAAGUUAUAUUAAAUAGAUGACAAAUUUGAUCCCAAGGAAAAGAAACAAAAAAACUAUAAAACUCUCCACCUUAAGUCCAUCUUCCUCUUGUACUCCCUGCACCUCUUUUAUAAGGUCAGUACUCCCUGCACCUCUUUUAUAAGGUCAUUGAUCCUACUCAAGAGAGGGCUGCCCUCAUGACUUAUCACCUCUUAAAGGCCCCAUCUCUUAAUAUUAUCACAUUGGUGAUUAAGUUUCAAUAUAUGAAUUUUGGGGGUACACAUUCAGACCAUAGCAGUCACUGAAUGUUUAACUGUAUUAGCUCUGAAUUUACCCAUGUGGUAGAUUGUUUAAUGACCCCAAAUCACCUCCCUUACCUCCCAAUUCCAGUUAUGCACUCCUCUUUAUAAUAUGUCUUUGCUUCACAUCCCAUCCAGAGGUGGUGUCCAUUUCUCCAGCCCCUUGAAUUUUGGCUGACUUUGUUUGCUUUGAUCAAUAGAAUGUGAUAGAAGUGAGGUUGUUUGAGUUCCUGAGCCUAGGUAUCAAGUAGCCUCGAAAGUGCUGCUUUCACCUCUUGGAACACUGCUCAGAACUGCUAAGUGAGGAAGCUAAUCUAGUCUACAGGAGACUGGAAAGCCACCUGGAGAAAUAUCGAGGCACUCCAGCCAGCACCAACUGCCAGACAUGUGAAUGAGGCUAUCUGAGCCCUCCAGCCAGAUAAUCAUCCAACUGCAUGGAGCUACUUAAGAAAGCACAGGCUAAACCAGCAGAGAAAUUGCCCGGCCAACUCACAGAAGUAUGAGAAAUGAUAAACUGUUGCUGUUUUAAGACACUAAGUUUUGGGGUGAUUUGUUACAUAGUAAUAGAUAGCUGACACAGCCUGUCAUAAUCUUUUAACCUGUAAUUAUAUUACAAGAGCUUAUUUCAUUAAGGGAACCUUUUACAAUUCCUCUGCAUUCUUGCAUUGUUCCUCAUGCAGAGAAAUUCUCUCUGUAAUGAAUGUUAUUUGCCUGCCUAAUAAGAGAACACUCUGAACUUCGAAGGUUAGUAGAGGAAGGAGAAUCUCAUAUGCGGAGUGCUACUUCUCCCUUUCUUCUCAUCACCAUCACCACCCUGGCAUGGAUAUAGACCCAGCUCCAGGUGAAGUUGGACCUACCAAAGACUUGGGAGCUGGAAUGCUACAACUACAUUCUCCAAGACUACCUUGUAGCUAGUUUCUGCAUGUGACCUAGCUAUCACCAAGAAGACAUAUUGCUUGAGACUAGGAGGCAGAGAUGCUAAAUGUGAAUGAUAGCUCUGCAGAGAGAGAGAUCAGAUCUUGCAAGUGCAGAGAACAAGACACCUGGAUUUCCUGGGACAGCUGCUCUGGGGAUUUUGGAUUCCAAAGGCCAGUUCUCUUGUCUUUCCAGAAAUUCUUACAAGGUACCUACUACUGUUUAAUGAAUUAUUCUCUGCUUCAACUAGAUAACAUGGAUUCGGCUGUCUACAGUCAAAAAUCCUGACAAAUACAGGAUGAUACUGCACCCCCAACCAUAGGAGUGGUCCCUACAAAUGAAGCACAUUGGAAUACAGUAGCACCCUGACUUCCAUAUGAGUAAUCUCAAGGUUUCCCUUUGAUUCCAAUUUCACCUGUAGGCUCCAAUGUAACAGUGGAAAAGCAGAGGUCAUGAUGGAGAGAAUAGGAGUGAGCCCAUAAAACCUGGUUUGGCUGGGUGCGGUGGCUCACACCUGUAAUCCCAGCACUUUGUGAGGCCGAGGCAGGCAGACCACGAGGUCAGGAGAUCAAGACCAUCCUGGCUAACAUGGUGAAACCCUGUCUCUAUUAAAAAUACAAAAAAAUCAGCCGGGCAUGGUGGCAAGUCCCUGUAAUCCCAGCUACCUGGGAAGCUGUGGCAGGACAAUCACUUGAACCCAGGAGGUGGAGGUUGCAGUGAGCUGAGAUCAUGCCACUGCACUCCAGCCUGGCAACAGAACAAGACUCCAUCGCAAAAACAAACAAACAAACAAAAAACCUGGUUCAAUGAUCAAAUAUUGAGUCAGGGAUAGGCUAAGCCAGCAACAAAAUCAACCCACAGGGACUUCAGGCCUCAGCAGAAUGAACAAGGGAAUCUACAUUUGGAGAUCAAGAUCAAGUUGGUUUGAGAAGAAAAGCCAGGACACCAGGUCUAAAUUGAGUUCCAUGAACAGUAUUUGGCCAAGUCAGAAACCCUUUGUGAAGACCCCUAGCCCCAACCACCCACAGGUGUACAUGUUCUCAUAUAUAUAGGACAUGAGGACAUGUCUUAACAUUUAAUUGGUGACCUUUGCCCCUGUGGUAUGAGAAAAUGGUAUCUCCUACUCAAAUAUCAGAUAUUUUGGUUUAAAAUGUAAAAUGAGUCAGAGUUAAUUUGUCUCAGUCAGCCAACAUGUCAUAAAAAUAUUUUAAUUCCAAGUAUUGCCAUAGUUUAUCUUAUACGUAAGAUAAAGUAGAGCCAAUAGAAAGAUGCAAAAGCAAACCAAAGUUAGAUUAUUGCUUCUGAUGGGACAAACCCUGUCCAGGAGAAUUGUGGGGCCUUUCUUUGAUUGACAGGUAGAUUUGGGAGUUUUUAGAGGGGACCAAGCCUUUUGGGGCAAGGGAAGAUGCAGUUGCAAAAUACCACUUGCUGGUUCUUUGGAAAAAAAAAAUAACAAAAUCUAUAGACCACUAGCUAGAUUAACCAAGAAAAGAGGAAAGAAGAUCCAACUAAGUUAAAUUAGAAAUGAAACUGGAAACAUUACAACCAACACCAUAGAAAUACAAAAGAUCAUUUAAGACUACUAUGACAACUUUAUGCACACAAACUAGAAAACGUAGAGGAAAUUGAUAAAUUCCUAGGGACAUACAACCCUCCUAGAUUAAAUCAGGAAGAAUUAGAAACCUUGAACAGACCAACAACAAGCAGUGAGAUUGAAUUAGUAAUUUUAAAAUUGCCAACAAAAGAAAGCCCAGGACCAGAUGGAAUCACAGCUGAAUUGUACUGGACUUUCAAAGAAGAAUUGGUACCAAUCCUACUGAAACUAUUCCAAAGGAUUGAGAGAGAGGAAAUCCUCCUUAAAUCAUUCAAUAAAGCUAGUAUCACCCUGAUACCAAAGUCAGGAAAGGACACAACAAAAAAGGAAAACUACAGACCAAUUUUCCUGAUGAACACAGAUGCAAAAAUCCUCAUCAAAAUACUAGCUAACUGAAUCCAACAGCACAUCAAAGAGAAUUCAUCAUGAUCGAGUUUCAUCACAGGGAUGCAAGGAUAGUUUAAUAUAUGCAAGUCAAUAAAUGUGAUCUAUCACAUAAACAGAAUUAAAAACAAAAAACCAUAUGAUCACCUCAAUAGAUGCAGAAAACGCAUUUGAAAAAAAAAAUCAGCAUCCCUUUAGAUAAAAACUCUCAACAAACUAAGCAUAGAAGGGGCCUACCUCAAAAUAGUAGAAGCCACAUAUGAUAAACCCACAGCCAACGUCAUA